rnacentral:siRNA from 1 species
GGUGAAGCUUACCUGAGGUUCCAA